rnacentral:rRNA from 1 species
GUUCGGAUUGUAGGCUGCAACUCGCCUACAUGAAGCUGGAAUUGCUAGUAAUCACAGGUCAGCAUACUGUGGUGAAUACGUUCCCGGGCCUUGUACACACCGCCCGUCACACCAUGAGAGUUGAGAAUACCCGAAGUCCAUGUCAAAGUGGCCGAAGGUAGGCUUGAUGAUUGGGGUGAAGUCGUAACAAGGUACC